rnacentral:rRNA from 1 species
CAGUAGCCGCGGGAAUACGUAGGGUGCAAGCGUUAAUCGGAAUUACUGGGCGUAAAGCGUGCGCAGGCGGUUUGUUAAGACAGAUGUGAAAUCCCCGGGCUCAACCUGGGAACUGCAUUUGUGACUGGCAAGCUAGAGUGUGGCAGAGGGGGGUGGGAUUCCGCGUGUAGCAGUGAAAUGCGUAGAUAUGCGGAGGAACACCGAUGGCGAAGGCAGCCCCCUGGGCCAACACUGAUGCUCAUGCACGAAAGCGUGGGGAGCAAACAGGAUUAGAUACCCCGGUAGUCCCUGUCUCUUAUAC